AAAUAAGGGAUCCAGGACUUGAACUGCCCCAGGCUUUCUCACCAACCUCUAAGGAAAGAAAAUCUUGAGAUCAGGUUGCCAGAUGGGAGCUUUCUAACAGAAAUGCGAAGUAGGCUGAAGGCUUUACUACGUGGACUUUAUUCCACUCCCCAACACUAGUAAUAAUCCAUGACUUCUGAGUUCCAACACUUGACUGUAAACUCCAUGAGGGCAGGAAUUCUUAUCAUCUAGCCCAAUGCCUGAAAUAGGAAAGGUGAUCAAUAAAUAUUUGUCAAAUGAA